CAUUUCCAAACUUUUGCUUUUGGUACCUGCUGUUAGUCUUGGUCCGUUAAGUGAUGAUGUGAAGCUAACAAAGUGUCACAUCAUUGGUUAAGUGAUGUUGGGACGUCAUCACUUAACAGACUUAGAUUAACAGAAGGUACCAAAAGCAAAAGUUUAAAAAUG
rnacentral:pre_miRNA from 1 species